GUCUAUCAUUCUUCUCUCUACGAAUCCACUACAAUUCAUCUCUUACAAACACUUAAUUAGUUAUCAUUCUUCUCUCUACGAAUCCACUACAAUUCAUCUCUUACAAACACUUAAUUAGUUUUGCAUUAUUCUUUCAAAGAUUAAAGAAGUUUUUCAGGAUGCAGAAAGAAAAUAAGAUCAGGUGAUUCAUCUCAAACUUCCUACAAGAUCAGCUAUUAAAAAGACAAAAGAAGACCAAGAAGUAGAGAGUGAGUUUGUACCUUUAAGAGGAGAAAAAGAAUUUGAAGAAAAACUAGAAGAAGGAUUUGAAGAAAAGGUUGAAAUAAUGACUAAUGACCAAAGACAAGUAGCUAUUGAAAGGCAAAUGGCUAUGAAGAAUUAUGCUCAGCCUGUAAUUGGUAA